AUUGAGUUGAUAUCCCAGCAGUUUGUCAUCUCAGGUUUUGCUCAGAGGAUGACAUUUAGGCUGUUUUAGAUCAGACCUUGAUCCCUCAUAUCUCUACUGUCUUUCAGAUACUUACAGCUCAGUCUGCAUGGAUUGAGGAGCUUGAGGGAUAUAUUCUGAGACUAACGGGCAGAGUUUUGAAUUUGCAGAGGCAGGUAUUAGCCUUAGACUAUCUCCAGCCGCAAGAGAAUAUCAUAGAGAUCUCCGACCUGUUUGCAGAGGCGGCUAGGCUUCGAGGCAUUUUGCAGAGUGGCUUUGAUUUUUUGAGGAGAGAGAUCAGGAGCUCUAGUGAGAUUGUCUCAACUCAAAUUGGUACCCUGAUGCAGUCCUUGACAAGAGUUUUGGAAUAAUUGGACACCAUCAGACUUUUUCUCCUAGCACAGUCCAUAGCUUCUCAGGCUCCAGGAUCUUCUCGCCCUUCUGCUCGUGCCGGUAUUUCUACCCGUGGCCGAGGCAGACGUGGUUGAGGACAUGCCCGUGACAUUAAUCCUGAGACUCCUCAUCAUAUCUCUGACUCUUCUGAUUCUAACCCCUCUAACCAUGAUAUUUAUUAGAUCUAGCAUAGUUAGUCUCUUAUGUCUAGGAUCUAGCUUAUGGCCUUUGUAAUUGUUGGCUGAUUGACUCAUGAAAAGUUAUAUUUUUUUGUUAUCCAUGACUCUUGUAUAGCCUAUGUAUUUUGACUUGACUCGUAUGUAUUGUGACACAUAUGUCACAUUUUGGAUAUAUAUAUAUAUAUAUGCUUUGCUCUUACAUGAAUGUCAUUUGG
rnacentral:lncRNA from 1 species